AACGGCCCGCGGUAUCGUGACCGUGCAAAGGUAGCAUAAUCAUUAGUCUUUUAAUAGAGGGCUGGAAUGAAAGGUUUGACGAGGUAUUGACUGUCUCACUUUGAUGAUUUUAAAAUUUAAUUUUUAAGUUAAAAGGCUUAAAUGGUUUUGGAAGACGAGAAGACCCUAUAGAGCUUUAUGGUUGUAUUUAAUAAUAGCUUUGGUUUAUAUAUUAUAUUAUUUUAUAUAACUUUUUUGUUGGGGUGACAAAAAAUAUAUAUUUAACUUUUAUUAUAUAUAAAACAUUUAUUUGUGGUUAUUAGAUCCUUUUUUAUUGAUUAUUAGACUAAGUUACCUUAGGGAUAACAGCGUAAUCCCCUUUUGGAGUUCUUAUUUACAAGGGGGCUUGCGACCUCGAUGUUGAAUUAAGAUUAUAGUUGGGUGUAGCAGCUUAACUUAUAGGUCUGUUCGAC
rnacentral:rRNA from 1 species